rnacentral:rRNA from 1 species
CCUACGGGAGGCAGCAGUGAGGAAUUUUCCGCAAUGGGCGAAAGCCUGACGGAGCAAUACCGCGUGAGGGAUGAAGGAUUUUGGUCUGUAAACCUCUUUUCUCAAGAAAGAAGUUCUGACGGUACUUGAGGAAUAAGCAUCGGCUAACUCCGUGCCAGCAGCCGCGGUAAUACGGGGGAUGCAAGCGUUAUCCGGAAUGAUUGGGCGUAAAGCGCCUGUAGGUUGUUUAUUAAGUCCGUUGUUAAAGCCUAGGGCUCAACCCUAGAAAAGCAAUGGAAACUAGUAGACUAGAGUAUGGCAGGGGUAGAGGGAAUUUCUAGUGUAGCGGUGAAAUGCGUAGAUAUUAGAAAGAACACCGGUGGCGAAAGCGCUCUACUGGACCAUUACUGACACUCAGAGGCGGAAGCUAGGGGUAGCAAAAGGGGAUUAGAUACCCCCUGUAGUCCUAGCCGUAAACGAUGGAUACUAGAUGUUGUGCAUUAUGUACAGUAUCGUAGCUAACGCGUUAAGUAUCCCGCCUGGGGAGUACGCUCGCAAGGGUGAAACUUAAUGAAUUGACCGGCNGNGAAGUGCGAGACGACGACGAGGAGGAGG